UACGUAGGUGGCGAGCGUUGUCCGGAUUUACUGGGCGUAAAGGGAGCGUAGGCGGACUUUUAAGUGAGAUGUGAAAUACUCGGGCUCAACUUGAGUGCUGCAUUUCAAACUGGAAGUCUAGAGUGCAGGAGAGGAGAAUGGAACUCCUAGUGUAGCGGUGAAAUGCGUAGAGAUUAGGAAGAACACCAGUGGCGAAGGCGAUUCUCUGGACUGUAACUGACGCUGAGGCUCGAAAGCGUGGGUAGCAAACAGG
rnacentral:rRNA from 1 species